rnacentral:lncRNA from 1 species
CCCCAUUCCAGCAUCUGAUCAUGGUUGAUUCUGCUUACGUGUGUAUUUCAGAUUAAGGAGGCAUUUAUUUAUUUAUUUAAUCUGUCAGAUCUUCCAACUCAAAAAAAAAAAAAAAGACUUAAUUCUUUUCCAAGGCAAAGGGUUGAUAAAAAGGCUCCAUUUUAAAUCAAUGGGGGAAAUCAGAUGACUGUGACCUUGACGUGUGAAAUGGGGGAGGGGCGCGUAGAUUUGGGCCCAAACCCUUGGCCUCUCCAUUCCUGGGGCGUCCUAGGCCCUUUCUAAGCACACCAACAAGAAGGGGGUUACAUUUUCAAAGGUUACCAUUAACAGUUCAUAUGCUAAAGUUGGGAACUUGGUAUUUUCAUAUUACGUGAAAUACAUGAUUUAAUUAUACUUCAAAAACAAAUUAAGGACAGGCCUUCUACACAAAUUGGAGGCAGCUAAAUGCUCUUUUGUGCCUGCAGCCCUCGGGUUGUUAAAGAGGCUGCUGAUGCAUGAGAAGGGCGCGUUGCGGGGUCUCUGCGUUAGACCGGUUCUCAGCGGUUUCUGCAGCCACAGCCUGGCUCUACGCCUCCCCCCGGGCCGCGGGGGCGGAGAAUCCUCCCUUCCUCGGACACUGGAGCCGGAGCGGACCUUGCCCUCCCGCGGACCGCGCGGUAGGGGACGCCGAGAAAAGAGCCCCUGCGCCCGCCGCCUCCGGCCCGCCGCGCAGAGGGCUCCGCCCGUAGAGGUCAACUCCCCUCACCCUUUCGGCUCUCCUGAUCGCCCUCCCUCCGCCCGGCCCAGGCUCCGCCAGCCUCCCGACUCGGGCCGCAGUCUGAGGAGUGCGCCUCCGCUGCGCUGCUCUGAACCUUAACCCCGAGCCGGGCCCAGACCCGAGGUCCGCGCACCCCGGCGGUGGGGAAGCCUUAGCGAGCAGCCUUUUCUCUGCAGCAAAGCUGUAGGAAGACCAGAUGGGCCGCGCAGCUCUCUCGGGACUAGGCAGGUGCGGUUGAGUUAAUUUUUCCGCAUUACAAAGAAAGAUGACCCAGUCCGCCCUUGGACCCUCAUCUCUUCCCCAAAUCUCCCAACCUGAACCGCGGUAACGUUAUCAGAGGACACAGAGACUAGGCAUAUCUGCGUGAUUAUCUUACACACACACACACACACACACACACACACACACACACACACGUGUAUGAGUAUUUUCUUUUUUAUGUGCCAGAUCUCAUCCUCGACAGCUGGAAAUGACUGGCAAAGCUUUCUGCAGAACAGAAAGUCCUUAAAACCUGCCAUUCCUUACAAGUGACUUAGAAGAGAUGCAAGGCUAACCAACUCAGUUCAUUGCCUUGAGUAAAACAACACGUUUACGAACUUAGUUCUGCACCAGAAGGGUGAUUAACUUCGAUACACGCCAUCAUUUGAAACUAGAUUUGUAGGCGUAUGUAUGUUCUUAGGUGUGCUAUAAAUGGCAUGCAGAUAUAUGCAUAUGUAUAUGCAGACACUUACAUCGUCUACACUUCCACCGAACAGACUAAUUAGCAGUGGCUCUGGCAGCCGUGGCAGGAGGCUAGCUGAAACAGAAGCCUGAGCUUAUGAGUUAGGACUCUGGAGGAGUCAUAGGGACUCAAGCUCAGGGCAGGGGAAAAGGGCAGAAGGAGAAGUGUGGCAUUCGCAAUGGGUCAGUUACUUUCCGGAUCAAGACCAGACUCUGCCCUCCGUGUUCACAGCGGACCUUGAUUUAAUGUCAUACAAUUAAGGCACGCGGUGAAUGCCAAGAGCGGAGCCUACGGCUGCACUUGAAGGACACUAGAGCGUCUUAGAAUAAGAAAGUGCAAAAGGCACUUGCAAGGGUGGGCUGAGGGGUGGUAGAAUGGAACCCAUCCUUUAACACAUAAAGACCCUCAAACUGAUUUCAGAACCAGCCUAGUGUUCCAAAAGCAGAAGGGUCAUAGUUUUCACUAAGAGCCUCGGAAAUCCGCAAGCAAAUCCCCCAGGGGGAUUUUAGCGGAGCCUCAGUGACAGCUGUCAGGAGAGCAGUAGUUCCCGUCUGUGCAAAUAUUCCAGAGAGUUGAGGCGUUUAGAAAGCACUGGUUCUUUCAAGAGCAGGUAGUGUGAUUGUUUGCAAUCCUGGGCCAAGAUGCGGAAACAAAUCAGAAGGGAGAGGAUAAUAACAUUAAAUGGCGCCCUCAACACACUGCGCAAGAAACCUCAAAUAGUUCAGCUACUUCAGGAAGCUCUGAACACAGCCCCCCCUCCCCCUUCUCUUCCCAGUCUAGAGCUGGCCUCGCCUACUUAAAAAAAAAAAAAAAAAAAAAAAAAAAAGAAGAUAAUUUCCUGGUUUCGAUGUGGUCGCAAUGAUCACAUCAGUCAAAGGAGUAAGACGGGGAAAAAAACCAGGACAGAAACUUUAGAAGGACUGGGUAAAUUAAUUUAUUUGGCAGCCAAUGUGCUGCACUUUGUUAAGGUAAUAGUUUCGCACCAAGGCCUUGGAGCCAAAGACAAACUCAGGCUGAGAAAGCGGGCCUUGAUAGAUGUCUUUGUUCUGCCUUUGGCGAGCCGGGGCUGGGAACAAAGGAGGGGAGCUAAGACGGGAUUCAGUAAAGUGGCCGCGCCCUCGGCUCCUGGUGCUGUCCGCGGUGCUGACCACGGCCCUCCUCUCUUUAUGUAAUUUAACCAAAAAGCAAUGGGACCGUCCUACCCGCAUUCAAAAGAAUAAGAAGAUAUUUGGUAGUUUGCGAAGGAAAAAAUUAAAACAGAGAAAUGUCUUAUAAAGCGAAACCUAAUACUUUAUGGAAAGAGAACACUCUAGCUGUUGCCACACUUGGCUCGUAUGUCUCGCAAACACGUAGCGUUCAUCUAUGUAUUUUUGGGAAAACAUUUAAGUUUAUUUAGGCUAAAACCAGAAUCUAGGACCUGCGAGGAAGAUGAAGGCUGGUUUUUUUUCUUAAGUCAUCUUCCUUAAAACAUACAAAACCU